rnacentral:rRNA from 1 species
UACGGGGGGGGCAAGCGUUUGUUCGGAAUUACUGGGCGUAAAGGGCUCGUAGGCGGCCAACUAAGUCGGACGUGAAAUCCCUCGGCUUAACCGGGGAACUGCGUCCGAUACUGGAUGGCUUGAGUUUGGGAGAGGGAUGCGGAAUUCCAGGUGUAGCGGUGAAAUGCGUAGAUAUCUGGAGGAACACCGGUGGCGAAGGCGGCAUCCUGGACCAACACUGACGCUGAUGAGCGAAAGCCAGGGGAGCAAACGGG